GGGAAGCAGCCAGGUCAGUGCCCAUGUAAGGAAGGUUAUACAGGAGAAAAAUGUGAUCGCUGCCAACUUGGCUAUAAGGAUUACCCGACCUGUGUCUCCUGUGGGUGCAACCCAGUGGGCAGUGCCAGUGAUGAGCCCUGCACAGGGCCCUGUGUUUGUAAGGAAAACGUUGAGGGGAAGGCCUGUGAUCGCUGCAAGCCAGGAUUCUAUAACUUGAAGGAAAAAAACCCCCGGGGCUGCUCCGAGUGCUUCUGCUUUGGCGUUUCUGAUGUCUGCAGCAGCCUCUCUUGGCCUGUUGGUCAGGUGGGAGGCGCCAUCUGCGCGGCGGGAUUUAAUGAGCAGGUCGUAUUGCACAAGCUUGGCACGAGCUGUGUGAGGAGGAAAUGAGGAUGACUUCCCGUGACACCACUCUCAUCGCUAUGCAAUGAUACUGACGUGGGUCAAAGGCAGCCGUCUGCCUCUCAAGAUUCUUUAUAGGUCAUGUGCUUACUCCCACACACAUUUCUCUAUGGAAAAAACAGGAUGAUGUGGCACUAGAGAA
rnacentral:lncRNA from 1 species